UGAGCAACCUGCCCUUGACUCUGGAAUAACAGUUGGAAACAGCUGCUAAUACCGGAUACGACCUCCGACGGCAUCAUCUGGAGGUGGAAAGCUCCGACGGUCAAGGAUGGGCUCGCGGCCUAUCAGCUUGUUGGUGAGGUAACGGCUCACCAAGGCUUCGACGGGUAGCCGGCCUGAGAGGGCGACCGGCCACACUGGGACUGAGACACGGCCCAGACCUCCGUACGGGGGNAGCG
rnacentral:rRNA from 1 species